UACCGGCCGUGUGCAGGCAGUUCUGGUGAAGAGAGGAGAAGACACACCUGUUAGAACAUCGAGUCCUUCCGACCAUCGAUCAGGCACCCCGAGAAAUCAAGCCAACCGCGGGAGGCAAGAAGUCUUCUCUAGGUUAAGAGGUACUGGACAGGACUAAGGUUGAAGAUGACCGGUCACUUCACGCUUGUUCUGGCGCUGACACUGCUGGCUGAAGCCGUGUAUCCAGCCAAGAGCGAAUGGCAGGGACAACAACUCAAGCCUAAAGAUGCUUCAUCUGAAAUUAAGGAGGCUGAACUUCUGCUCAAAGAGCUUGA